GACGAACGCUGGCGGCGCGCUUAACACAUGCAAGUCGAACGGUGAAGCGCCUUCCUUUUUGGUGGGUGUGGAUGAGUGGCGAACGGGUGAGUAACACGUGAGUAACCUGCCCCCUUCUUCUGGAUAACCGCAUGAAAGUGUGGCUAAUACGGGAUAUUCUGGGUCUGUCGCAUGAUGGGUCUGGGAAAGAUAUUGUUUCGGUGGGGGAUGGGCUCGCGGCCUAUCAGCUUGUUGGUGGGGUGAUGGCCUACCAAGACGGUGACGGGUAGCCGGCCUGAGAGGGUGGACGGUCACACUGGGACUGAGACACGGCCCAGACUCCUACGGGAGGCAGCAGUGGGGAAUAUUGCACAAUGGGCGCAAGCCUGAUGCAGCGACGCCGCGUGAGGGAUGGAGGCCUUCGGGUUGUGAACCUCUUUCGCCAGUGAAGCAGGCCUGCCUCGUUUGUGGGUGGGUUGACGGUAGCUGGAUAAGAAGCGCCGGCUAACUACGUG
rnacentral:rRNA from 1 species